UCGCCUUAACCCAUCCGAUGUUCAAAUUUAUGACCAUCGGAUGUUCAAUGCAUUUCCAAAAUCACUAACACCACUGCAAUCCGAAUCAUACGAUUUUGUUUCAUGUUUUAGUAUGCGUGAUAUUCGCGCAAACCAAACUGUCAAGAGAAGAAUUUCUUCUUCAUCCUCUUUAAAAUAGCCCUUUCUUCUCUGCGGCCGGUUUGACAUUUCGUUGUGCUCAGCAAGUAUUUUUUCGGGCAACAACAGUAAGCGGUCCGGGAAAGUUUCCGCCGUUAAUUCGUUCCUUUGCGAGUGUCCGAAAUUUGUUCCUUUGCGUAGCCCAGAGAACUACCCGCGUUGUUUCGUGAUUGUAUUCCUAAAAGAAAAUAGGACAGUCUGGGCGAGUCGUUGGCCUCGGUACUUCCCUCGCCGGACGAAUCUCUCCGCGGCGAACCGAGUACGGCCAGCAGAUCCGUCGCGACGACCCCGACGACAACCGAAAUAAUGAAAACCGACACGGCCCUGUUGGUGCCCCCGCCGGAAGAAUCUUCUUACUUUUCGGAAAAGUACCCCGGCAAAGUGUGUGCGCGCUCGGCGAUCGCAGCCAAGUAGACCAGGGCGAAAUGCUACGGAUCGAGGUCAAGGACAGUGUCGAUGCGACGAUCGUGGCCGCGCUGUCGUCCCAAGAAAACGUCAAGGGAUCCUCCGGGAGCAGUCCCAGCCAAGGGGUCAAAAGCCCCAACACGGGCAGCGGUGGUGGUGUCAUCACACUCAAAAUAUCGCCGCUGCUGAGCAGCAACAAACGACAGGGAGGAAUGAACAAGAAACCCAGUUAUCACCGCCGAGGACGUGGACGACCUGGAGAAGGUCGGUGAAGUUAGUCUCGAUCAAGGACGGCGGAUACUCCUACAUUCACCGGUCGUGUGCCAUCUGGUCGUCAGGUGUGGGCCGGGACGUGGCCAAGGGGACGCUCAGCAACCUGGAGGUGAUCGUGGCUGUGCUACUUUUGCUCGCGCUAGGGGCGAGCUUGGUGUGCAAGGUGGAUCUGCAGAGAACACCUCGGACAAGUGCCAUUAGAGUGUCCGGACGACAUCAACUGCUGACGGUGUUCGGCCCACGGGAACGUCAGCAACCUGAUGAUGUGUUUGAUCUGCGGCGCCACAACCACGGCCCGUGACGUCAAUUCCGAAGUACGGCUGGACUGUACAAUCUGUGAGAGCUGCGGCCAGCGUAACGACGAAGGUCGGUUGAUUCUGUGCGACGAUUAUGACAUCUCGUACCACACGUACUGCAUGUACCCUCGCUCGGAAGCAUGCUGAACCCUGACAGUCGUUCCUUCCAGUUAAAAUCGAAACCCACGGCGGCGAGGACAUCGACCCGAAUUUGGACGACACAUUUCAGAUCGUGCUGAAGAAGAUGUUCAAAAAGGACCCCACUACGAAGAAGUAAGUCCUGCAGGAAUUCACCGAGCAAAUCAAGUACGAGCUGGACGUCGUAAAAGCGUCCUCCCCUGCUGCCCCGCCUUUACGGGAAUCUGUCCACCGACGUCGAGCACCGGGUGCAUGAAACGGCUCCGCAGGCACACGCGGCGGUCGUCGCGUAGGCACGCAAGUACAACGCGCCGUAUCUGAAGCAGCUCGGCCAGGAUUUCAGCGCAACACGACACGUACGCUCUGGCAGCCAGUCGUUUAGCAAUCCAUCAAUCCCGAAAGAGUGCGAAAUCAAUACAAUCGCGUGCUGAUCGCCAGCUUGCGCGGGUACGCCAUCACCUGAGCAAGGUCCCCGAGGAAAAGCUUUACAAAUCGGUCGCGGGCCCUGCUGGACAGUGGCAAAUUUUUGCCCUACCACAAGCACAAAUAUCCAGCCAUUUGGUCCACGUGGUUCGAAGUCGUGUAGGCGUUACUUCAGCCCACGCCGUUUCUGGUGGAGAAGCACCGGGCGCAGAUUCAAACGGUGAUGGACAGCAUUUCAAAAUCUACUAAUAUAACAACUGCUAGCUGAAUUUUGGAAUCGUCUUUUUGAAAUCGUCGAGCAAACCGUUUCCGUUGCCUCAGACGUCCAAUAAUUUACGACCUCGAACGUGGAGCUGAUUCGGAACCUUAAACGCACCUCGCCCAAACGCGUCAAGUUCAACAGCGGCUCGGCCAACCCAUCGGCGCUCUGCGGCAACAUCAACACUCGAAUCGUGCUGGACUCGAGUGACCUGAUUUUAUUCUUCAAAGUGAUUUGAGGACGACGUGGAGGAAUUGGAGCUGGAACGGAGCUCGAGGAAUCAUGCCAUCAUGUCGAGCCUGCCCGGCGUCUCGUUAAUCCGGAUAGCUGUCCGUGGCGACACUUCUCAGCAUCGUGCCAAUUCGCCUUGCUUGUCCCAGCGCGGUUCUUCCGGCCGAUCGAGGUCGAUCUGGUGCUGGUCGAGCAUGACCAAGCGGAAGCUUGGAUGAAAACCGGAUUGUUCCGUCUGGAAAAUUUUGAUGUGCUGGAAUCAAACGGCCGAAGAUCACAAGGCAGCAGAAUUUAUGUCCUGAUUUUAACUCUGCUACUAGAAAGUGGUUUUCCGAUGACUGGAGAAACGAUGAUAAAUUGUUAAACGUUUGUUGUUAAAAAUGAAUUAAACAUAAUUUAACGUCUAAA